AGAGUUUGAUCCUGGCUCAGGACAAACGCUGGCGGCGUGCCUAAAACAUGCAAGUCGAACGAGCUGCUUGCAGCUAGUGGCGGACGGCUGAGUAACACGUAGGUGACCUACCCUUGAGUGGGGAAUAAGCCUCCGAAAGGAGGUCUAAUACCGCAUACGACCGCCCUGUUUCGGCAGGGUGAGGAAAGCAGUAAUGCGCUCGAGGACGGGCCUGCGUCCGAUUAGCUUGUUGGUGGGGUAACGGCCUACCAAGGCGACGAUCGGUAACUGGUCUAAGAGGAUGAUCAGUCAGACUGGGACUGUGACACGGCCCAGACUCCUACGGGAGGCAGCAGUUAGGAAUCUUGGGCAAUGGGCGAAAGCCUGACCCAGCAACGCCGCGUGGGUGACGAAGCCCUUCGGGUCGUAAAGCCCUUUUGCACGGGAAGAUGAUGACGGUACUGUGCGAAUAAGCCCCGGCUAACUACGUGCCAGCAGCCGCGGUAAUACGUAGGGGGCGAGCGUUGUCCGGAUUUAUUGGGCGUAAAAGGCUUGUAGGUGGCCACGUCAAGUCGGAUGUGAAAUCUCCCGGCUCAACUGGGAGGGGUCAUUCGAUACUGACGGGCUCGAGGCCGGUAGGGGGAAGCGGAAUUCCCGGUGUAGUGGUGGAAUGCGUAGAUAUCGGGAGGAACACCAGUGGCGAAGGCGGCUUCCUGGACCGGUUCUGACACUGAGGAGCGAAAGCGUGGGGAGCGAUCCGGAUUAGAUACCCGGGUAGUCCACGCCGUAAACGUUGGGCACUAGAUGUCGGGGGUAUCGACCCCUCCGGUGUCGCAGCUAACGCAUUAAGUGCCCUGCCUGGGGAGUACGGCCGCAAGGCUAAAACUCAAAGGAAUUGACGGGGGCCCGCACAAGCAGCGGAGCGUGUGGUUUAAUUCGAUGCAACGCGAAGAACCUCACCUAGGCUUGACAUGGCUGAAGUAGAACCCCGAAAGGGGAACCACCCGUAAAGUCGGGAACAGUCACAGGUGCUGCAUGGCUGUCGUCAGCUCGUGCCGUGAGGUGUUGGGUUAAGUCCCGCAACGAGCGCAACCCUCGGCGUUAGUUACUAUGUCUAACGCGACUGCCGGUUUCAAACCGGAGGAAGGUGGGGAUGACGUCAAGUCAGCACGGCCCUUACGCCUAGGGCUACACACACGCUACAAUGGCCGGUACAACGGGACGCCAAGGGGUGACCUGGAGCAAAUCCCAUCAAAGCCGGUCUCAGUUGGGAUUGCAGGCUGCAACUCGCCUGCAUGAACGCGGAGUUGCUAGUAACCGCAGGUCAGCACACUGCGGUGAAUACGUUCCCGGGCCUUGUACACACCGCCCGUCACGUCAUGAAAGUUGGAAACGCCUGAAGUCGGUGGGCCAACCCGCAAGGGAGGCAGCCGCCGAGGGCGGAGCCAGCGAUUGGGACGAAGUCGUAACAAGGUA
rnacentral:rRNA from 1 species